UCUCGCGCUGAAAUAAAUGUCAUCAAGUCAGUGUAAAUAUAAUCAAAACAAACUUACAAAUCGAACACACAAGCAAUAUUGCCAUAGUCAUUCAAAGAAACUUGAAUAUGCUGACUGGUAAAGAAAAAAAAAAUCUCGACGAUAAAUCUGAAUGUGAUCGACAUCAUCAAUUGAAUCUGUGGAUCUGUGAUGUGGAUAUGAUCCUACGGGUCCAAUAUAUCCGGACACUGAAAAUCCAUUAUGACCUGAAUUUUAGACUCUUCACGUAAAAUGAACAUGCCUAAUGUAUAUUUGGAUGGAAAUCAACUGGACGGUAGUGGCAACACAAAAUAGGAAUACAGUAUUGUUCGGAAAGUGCCGAACGCAGAUUCUCUGAAUUAACCGACAAUGUUUCAAAUUUCGUUGCUGCUGCAUAGACCAUCGACGAUGAACAUGAUUUCUACAGAAUAAAUAGUUUGGGUACGCUCAGUAGCGUAUUCGCUAACGUGGAUAACGAGGAAGGAGAAUGGGACAAAAUUUUCGAGUCAGUUCCGAGACAUCCGUCAGGAGGUGUUCAAAUGUUACAACCAGAAAAUGAAGUUGUCGAGUUUGUGCCGCACUUUAACGGGGAUGGCGGUGUGUGACAUGCACCGUCUAUCUGGACACAACGAAUCUGCGAGGUGCCACAUCAAAUGUCUCUCGGUUUCACAAAGUACGGCGAUCAUAUAGCGAAAAAGUACGUACAGAACCGAUGUAUACUGGAAAACCUUUAUAUCAUCAAUGCCUUUGCUCGACAUUUUUACAAGAAUGAUCCGCCCGAUUACACCAACUGUUUGCGAAGCGUUUCUUUUAAUGUUAUUUGAAUUGUCAACAAACAAAUCGCAGAGAUGCCGCAAACGAUGUAGGCUCUGGUCAACUUCUUUUCUUCAAUUAACGUUGGUGGUACGAUGUAGUUCACAAUAUCAAAUGUGAUCAAUGUGAUCCAAACUAAAAUGUUAUACAAAGACACACGUGGCACAAAUGUGACACGAAUACUUGUAAUUGAAAUGUGAUGUCCAUUAGGACAUAUUUUUAUUUUUAUUUUUUUGUAUUCUUCUCUAUAAGUCAUCAGUUAUCUAUACUAUUAUUGUCCAGUGUUUUGCGCCAGUUUUUGAAAAAAUAUAAAAUUGAAUGCA